GAUGAACGCUGGCGGCGUGCCUAAUACAUGCAAGUCGAGCGAACAGAUGAGGAGCUUGCUCCUCUGACGUUAGCGGCGGACGGGUGAGUAACACGUGGAUAACCUACCUAUAAGACUGGGAUAACUUCGGGAAACCGGAGCUAAUACCGGAUAAUAUAUUGAACCGCAUGGUUCAAUAGUGAAAGACGGUUUUGCUGUCACUUAUAGAUGGAUCCGCGCCGCAUUAGCUAGUUGGUAAGGUAACGGCUUACCAAGGCAACGAUGCGUAGCCGACCUGAGAGGGUGAUCGGCCACACUGGAACUGAGACACGGUCCAGGCUCCUACGGGAGGCAGCAGUAGGGAAUCGUCCGCAAUGGGCGAAAGCCUUACGGAGCAACGCCGCGUGAGUGAUGAAGGUCUUCGGAUCGUAAAACUCUGUUAUUAGUGAAGAACAAAUGUGUAAGGAACUAAGCACGUCUUGACGGUACCGAAUCAGAAAGCCACGGCUAACUACGUG
rnacentral:rRNA from 1 species